UGCAGCAGAUAGGCUGGUAAAGUGUGUUCAGAUUAGUUUUGAAAUUACCUUUCAAAAAGAAAAUCUAACAAAUAAGUUGACCCACAUACUGGCAUUUCUUUAUAAAUGCUUCUUUUACAAUUUAUUUGGUGUUGCAAUGAAUUGAUGUGAGGGGGAAACAUUUGUCUUGACGUCUACCUAGAUAUUAUUUAAUCUGUUGUGGCUUGCAACAUAGCACUAUUAUAUUUUGAUCCCAUUAUAUCUUACUAUUUCUCUGAAAGGAAAAAAAAAUGGUAGUUUAUCAUUCAGUAACAUUGCAGUGCAGACAUGCAGACUCCUUAGAUUAAUUUUCUGCUUUUGCACAAAGGUCUUGAUGCUGUAAACCCUUAUGCAAUGUUCAUGGCUUCUGCACUCUGGCACAAGUCAGAGUGGAGACCAUGCAUAAACACAGAUAAGUGAAGCACUAGCUUUAUCCUUUGCACUGAAGAGAAAUAAAUAAGGAGCCAUUUGUAUGCACACUGCCUAAUUUAGGCAUGCUCAGAAUAACAAAGGAGCCUGACAUGGGUGAAGAAAGGGUGUUAAAUUAUAUUUAUCUCUCAUCGUCUGAAUUAGGCACCUAGCUAGUCAUUCUCUUAGGUCCUUUUUCUGCUGCUAGGCAAGAAGUUGGUAGUUUUUUCAUAAUGCAAGGUUUGAUUUUGAUAUCACAUAUCAUUUAUCAGGAUCCUCACUUCCACCUUGUGAUAAUAUCUACAAAAUUCCACAUUGGACAGGCCUAUUUGAUGCUCUGUGCACCCCUCCUCCCACCCUGAUUUACUUGAAUCAGACUCCUGGGAGUGGUGGACACCUGUAAAAUAAGCCCAGGGAGUGGCUUGUGGUUUGUGUUCAGUGGCAUUGAGGGGAUAAUCUGGGGGGUUUACAAGAUUGGAGAGCCUCUUCAAUCCUGCCAAAGUCCCUCUGAUCUCCCUAAAUCCCUGCAUGAACCCUGGUAGCUUCCUGAUCUGACCAUACCCUCCUGGACCCCAUAACCACCUGCAUACCCUACUAGCCCCCUGCAGACCCUGCUAGUGCUCCAAUCCCACCAAUUUCCCCACAGACCCUGCUAAUUAUGCAAUGGAAAGACACUGUAGGAAUGAAAUAGCCACCUAUUAUGCUGUAUGAUAUAGUGGUGGAAGUUUAAUUUUUGCUUGUCAUCAAGAAAAGGGUAACAGUUUUAUGUCUUCUAAUUUUAAUUAUUCAACUUACAGUAUUAUACAUUUUUUUAUUCAGCAUGACAUUCUUGUCAUCUAGCAACCAUAUUUAUAAAUAUAUUCAUUUUUAUGCAAGAUAUUUUCCCCCAAAUAAUUAGAGAACAACAGUGUAAUGAGCCAUGUGCCUUGUUGAGAGGCCAAGAGAAUAAGAGAAGAAAAGCCACCAAGAAAUGCUCCAGGCAAUUAGCUGAGACCCAAAAAAAUGCUGCAAUAGCAAAAUAAAGAUGUUCCUUGAGGUUUGUGGAGGGAGGCUCCAAGCAGAAAUCUAGAUUUGAAAAGCCCUGAACUUAGAUCAUUUGUCUUUAAGCCAAAACUUUCUAAAGACAUAGUAAAGAUUAUACUGAGAGCAGCAUCAAGCACUUCUGAAAAUUUAGCCCUGUGCCUCUAACCAUUUAUAUAAUAUCAUCUAAUCUAAUUUACUUUUCAUGACCACUUAUUGUAGCUGGUAUAGCUACUUAUUUGUACUAGCCUUUCACUUUUGAAAGCAAGAGUUACAAACCUGAUUUACUACACCGGUGUGAAUGAGUUUGUAAGUGUCAUCCUGCCUCUAUGUGUGAGACAGGGGUAGAUCCAGCUGGUGCAGUGGCAUGGUUACACCCCGUUUUGGAUCACAUUGUAGGAGCAGCAAGCACAUAUUUUUAGUCCCCAAAGCAGUGUUUUACAGAAACAAAUAGAAAGGCUGGUGACCUAAGGACUUCACAAUAUAAAGGCCUACUCCUGCAGACACCUACCAUAUUAAUCUAGAGACCUUCAACAAGAAAACCACAAGCCCCUAUCACAUGAUGUAAAAGAGUUACUCCUAUACCUAAGAAACAUGCAACUUAUCACACUCAUCUACAUGGAUUUUUGCCAUUUUUUCUCAAUCAGUUUGUACCAAGGAUCAAGUAUUUUCAUUUCAGCUUGUUAGAGAGUUGUUCUAGGUGAACUCUUACCACUGGCACUGUGUCUUCAGAAAGAUCUAUUGUUAUGUGGAGUGCUGCUCUUUACGAGAGAACUGCUGAAACAUUUGAAAGACAGGUCUCUAAUGCCUAAUACACAUUUCUCCAAGUAAAACUUCUGUGAAUCAGUCUCUCAAAGAUAUCACUCCUAACUCAGAAGACCACAAGCGAUGGUGAAUGAAGAGAAGGUGAAUAGUUAAAAAACAAUGGAUAAUAGAACAGGGGCUGGAACUUCCCAACAAAUCAAGAGGCCAGCAGUUUUAGUUGCAGCACCACCAGAAUCAACCAAGAAAAAACCUAAAACAUUCAAUAAGAAUGUGUGUCAUAUGUGAAAAAACCCAUCAACAUCCAAAAAGAACCUCUUACAGUAACUUUUCCAGAAACUUUCUCAGGAUGGAAUAAACUUGCACAAAAAUCUCAAGGCUAGGGAUAGACAUUCAAAAAUCUUGAGUCUGAAUUGAUUCAAUCUUUGCAGGUUAAUCUAACCUGGCCAGGCUAAAUCAGUUUUGUAACUGGACAGAUAUCACAGAAAUGCAGGCACAUGUCUGCAGUGGCUCAGGCUAGAAGCCGGGGGGUGCUAGAGCAGCCCUCCCUUCCUUCCAUGACAUGGAGCUGAGAGGGCAUGGCCAGGCUCCAGCAGGAGUUCUGAUUAACCCAGCAGAGAAUUGAUAACAGUGUUUAUCACAGAAUAAAGAAAACAGAGGGACAUUACAAGCUACUUGUUGAUUCUGUUUGUUGAUUCUACCUGUUGAUUAAACAGGGACUGUAGCCAGCAUGUGGUCUGCUAGGUACUACACAAACACCUUCUCAGCAAGGCAGAGGGGAGGGAGGAAUUCCUGCUUAGCAGGGAGUGGUGAAGGGAGUGGGAAAGCAGCUCGCAGUCUCUGGAGCCCCAGCCAGGGAGCAGAGGGGAGGGACAGGCCUUGCUGUGGAGCAGAGGGCACUGCCCAUGCCAGAGAGCAUGCCAGGAUGAUGGGGGUGUCUGGUUUAUCUUAAAUCAGUGAGGGGUCUGGGACAGACAUCGCAUAAACUGGUUGGAGCAAAAUCAGUUAAGUAUGAUACUACAUUCAACCAGAUUUAUCUCAAACUGGUUUCAGCCAUUCUCAAACUGGUUUAUGUGCACUGAACAUCUGUUCUGUUAUAGGUUUAAACCAGUUUCUGAUCAUUUAAAUUGUUUUAUGUGUAAUGUCUGUCCCUAGCCCAAGAGUGGAAGGAAUUAUGCAAAAGAUUUGAUACUCUUUAUGAGUGAAUACAGGUUGAUGAUAAGCUAAAGAAAUACAUAAAAACAGUAAGUUAAAAUCUUGUAGAUAUUAACCUGAAGUGUACACAAGAGGCACAGAAUCUGUUAAGUGUUGCAAAAGAGACUGAUACUGAAGUUACUGAUGAACCAAAUGAAUCACGAGUUAGAAGUAGUCAAGGAUAUUCCUUGUUAGUUUCUUUUUGUGUAAUUUGUGAAGAACCCUAGGAAAGGAAGAGCACUAGAGACUCCCUAUGCAACAGGUUAUCUGUAAAAUUUCACUGAAUUGAAAUAGACGGUGUUUGGAAAACUUUUGUAGGUGCAGUCCAAUACGUUCAAGAUGAGAACAAAAGGAAUUGUUUGCAAUUCUUAGUUACUUACUGUAGUGAUGAUGGUGGAAUAAUGAAAGCGGCAGUGUUGGACAUGUUAUAAUAAAGAGUGCUGGAAAUGAUUUUUGCAGAUCUGUCUAUAAUAAGCACGUGAGAGAAACUAAAGAAGAAGAUUGCCAACAAUGGCAAAAAUGGUUAGCCGAAAAACAGAAUGAAGCUUUCCAUUAGCUCUGUGCUUCUCUUGUUGAGAGUGUAGAAGUCCACAUAGAAGUGUAUACACUUCAAGACAUAGUCUUCGAGUAUGAGCAGCUACAAAGAGAUUUGAUAAUCAUCAAUGAAGAAAUAUGAAAUACUUGUGAUGAUGACAGACAUGCUAUAUGAUCUCUGUGGAAGAAGCUUGAAGAUCAUUUUAGAAAAGACAUUGGGUUUCAGUGCAGGUAUUGAACAAAUGAAUCAUCCAUAGUUUAUUCCCUCAAUCACAGAGGAGCAUAUGUUGGAAGUGCAGUGAAUAGUUGGGGUAUAGAUACUCCAGAACUGAUACAGAAUGUAGCCAAGCUUACUCCAAGCAUCAGAUGGAGGCUGGAAUCCCAAGACCAUAUGGGAACAAUGAACUGGAAGAGGACAAUAUACCGAAUGACAUUCACAAUCUUGUGGCAUUACUUGGCAAUCCUCAUUCUACAUUUGAAGACAGCCUUACAUUGGUUGCAGAAUGACUGAAAGUAGCUGUACAUUUUCUGUUUGAAGGAUUGUUACAUCUAAUCAUAGGAAAGUGACAGCCAAUGUAAAUCACAUUAACUAUGUAUGUUCACAAUAUGACGGGUAAUAAGGAACUUAUCCAAAUCUUGAAGGAAAUUAAAUUCAGCAUAUCUUAUAAUGAUGUUCUUGAUGAAAUGUGUGCACGGGCGCUGCAGGAACACUACAAAGCUGACCACAAUGCUUUCAGUGGCUACACUGGAAGCAAUUCUGCAUAGUCAGUUGUGUUCAACUGAAAUUGCUUUAGGCCAGCCUUGUACUGGUGCCAUGGAUAACAAUGAUUUCAAUGAAAAUGGGUUAUCAGGCUCUGAAGCAAGCCAUUAUACAAACAUAAUUAUAGUACAACCAAUUUUAUUUAACCAAGAAUGAACUAUUUCAGAAACAACAACCAUGGUUAUACCAAAGCUUGAAGCUCAGAAAAGUCUAUUCUGCCCAGCUAUCACCAAAAAUCAUAGGAGUGGCAUAUUACAUGCUCAGUCAUAACCAUGAAGAUUAGAGGUUAGUUUUGAGGGAAUAUUGGAACACUGGUUUACCACCCAUGCACGUCUCUGAGUGAUUCAACCAUAUGGAAGUGUCCCAGCAUUUACUGGAUAUCAUUGCUCUCUUGAAAGCAAUGUGGGAAACAUAUAUGAAAUGUUACACACAGCCUCCAAGUAAAGAAUUUGUUAUAGACAUGAUGGAUUGGUGCCAAAAAGUUACUGACCUGAAGAAGAUGCCAGUGACUUAGUUGGUUGCAGAUAAAACAGUGUAUAGAUAUAUUGAAGAGGCCCUUUGUGAAGAUGAGAAGAGAUGGCCUCAUGUGAAAGGGGUACUUGGUGGAUUUCACACAGAAACAUCUUAUCUCAAUGCUCUGAGAUAUGCUGGUAGUGGUCUUGAACAAUAAGCUGUUGCUUCAGGGGUUCUGGCUGCAGGUAGUGCACCUAGAACAUUUGUUAAACAUUACAACAGAGGAAUGCACAUCCACAAACUAGUAACAGAAAAAUUACUGACUAUGUUAAUCCAUAGAUACAUCCAGAAGACUCCUCAAGCAACUGACAGCUUGAAAUAGUUGGUAGAUCUCACUACAGAAAAUGGACAACAUGAAUUCAGCAGUUCAACUGCUUUUCAGGAAUUGGUACAUUUAGUAUUUGAAAAAGUGCUUAGUUGGGAAUCAGAUAUGGCCAAGUAUUUUCUGUCUUAUAUCACUGAUGUUGAAAUCCUCUUUCAAGAUUACCGUUGUUUGAGAGGUGAAACAAAUUUUGAAGAGUACUCAUUGACUUGGAGUAGAAUACUUACACUGUUAGCAGUUUAUGGAAAUGUCAGCUAUCUAAGAUACUUGAAGAAGUGAGGGAUGGAUUGGAUUUACUUAGAAUAUAUCCAUGGUUGCAAUCAACAUACUCAGUAGACCAGUUAUUAUGCAGUUAAGGGAACAACUAAAGCAGGUGGCUCAUUUCAAGCAACCUUGUAUCUUGCAGAACUGGGUCUGUCAAGAAUGGCGAUGGACUGUAAGGUUGUUGAGGCAGUGAAGCCAGCUCUGAAAGAAUGGAACAUGGAUCCAUGGGAUCUGAAUCAACCAACUCUUUUCUCCCUUUGCUUUAGAGAGCCAGCAACAGAAGAGGUAAGGAAGAGUCUCCACACAGCCCAUGAUGAGGGUAAUGGGAUGGUGGAAAACAUUCUGGGGAGACUUUCUUUUGGAACUCAGUCAAUACAUGACACUAUCAGCACAAGGAAAAACAAGAUCUUUGUGACAAAGAUAACUCCAACCAAGAGCAAGCAAGACUCUUGGUUAACCAUAUUGCAAUGAAACAAGUCACUGACCUUCCAACCAACAGAAAAGAGAGUACCAUUAAUUUAGAAGACAUCACGCCAUACAAAAUGCUUCCUUGGGCCUUUUUAUCUUCACAGCAGAUGGGACAUUCUACAAACCUGUUAAAUCAAAGUUCAUAACAUUGAUGAACCGGUCAAUCUCACCACUGUCACAUUAUCAUGCAUUAAUAGAUGUUGGAACAAUAUGGAGUAAAGUCCGAACAAGCAAGACACGGUCUGAAUAUGUCCUCAGUCUCUUCAAGUAUGUUGCUGGUCAACACCCACAAAAAGUAGCAUUUAACUUCAUUAAUGAGGUUUAUGAUGAUGGAAUGUUGAAGACUAAUACAAAACAGCAUGAGCAGCAGCAUCACUCGAAGUCAUUUGAGUUUAUUCCUAACAUCUACCCUGUUUCUGAUCAGCAAAUGCCUACUGGAGCAUUCUGGCACUCAUUUCUAUCAAAACAUUCUAACAAAAUGAGACUACAAUGUUUCCUCUUGAAUGUUUCCUUACAUCCACCAUGCAGACAUGUAUUUCACAAUGAAUCUCAUCUGCUAUGAUUUGAAAUCUGGAGAACAUGAUGUGUGCUUUAUAUUGAAAUCUCUGUGUGAGGGUGACACAAGGGUAUUCUUCCAUGCAGCUCAAAUGGAUAAUUCCUGCAGCAUCAUUUUUGAUUUCAAAGACACUGAUGAAUUGGUUGAUGCUUCCUACGUUAGUUAUGGGACUGAGCAGGAUAUGCAGCUAUACAAGAAGAAACCAGGAGUACACUGUCAUACUAAUACUGCCAUUCAUUACUUCCACCGUGUGAUGUAGUGUCUGCUGCUCUUGGGGUUUACGGACUCACUGGAGUAAACACAGAGGUUUCUCUGGCUGUGGUAAAGUGACAUCAAUGAAGUGAAUCUUACAAUCAAAAGAUUUGAUGUACCUGGAGAUAAUACAACAACUUGGAAAACAUGAGGAGCUCACUAAAUAGCUCUUCAGUAAACUGGCUUUAUUCACUGUCACAAUACUUUACAAUGAUCCUGUGAGUGAUAGUUUGUCCACUGCUCAUGCAUGUAAAUGGAGGCAAGUGGCACACUAUAAAUCUGCAAGACUUCCUCUGGAAUCCUUCAAACAACAAUUUUGGGUGGACUUCAGUGAUGGAUGUGUUGGAACCUGUGACAUACUAAAAAUGGACUGCCAGGAGGAGGGAAAUUGCCUCUAAACAAUGAAAAUGGACAUUCAGAUGAGCCAGUUAAAGCUACUGUUCUAGAGUCAUCUGAAGAAAAUAGUGAUACCAAUGAAUACCUAGAUUAAGAAUGUCCAAUGUAUGACAGGUUACAGACUUGAUAUUUGAGUUGAAGUAUUUUAUUUUACUUAAAUGUAUACCAUAAUAAUUCGUACCUUUGUUAUUAAUAAUAUUAAAUGUGACUUUAAAUAAAUAAAUGGUAAAACUUU